GCCGGAAUAGCUCAGUUGGUAGAGCAGAGGACUGAAAAUCCUCGUGUCACCAG
rnacentral:tRNA from 20 species